CCUACGGGACGCUGCAGUGGGGAAUAUUUGACAAUGGGCGAAAGCCUGAUCCAGCCAUGCCGCGUGUGUGAAGAAGGCCUUCGGGUUGUAAAGCACUUUCAGUGGGGAAGAAAGCCUUGGGGCUAAUACCCUCGAGGAAGGACAUCACCCACAGAAGAAGCACCGGCUAACUCCGUGCCAGCAGCCGCGGUAAUACGGAGGGUGCGAGCGUUAAUCGGAAUUACUGGGCGUAAAGCGCGCGUAGGCGGUCUGAUAAGCCGGUUGUGAAAGCCCCGGGCUCAACCUGGGAACGGCAUCCGGAACUGUCAGGCUAGAGUGCAGGAGAGGAAGGUAGAAUUCCCGGUGUAGCGGUGAAAUGCGUAGAGAUCGGGAGGAAUACCAGUGGCGAAGGCGGCCUUCUGGACUGACACUGACGCUGAGGUGCGAAAGCGUGGGUAGCAAACAGGAUUAGAUACCCGUGUAGUC
rnacentral:rRNA from 1 species